GAGAGAUUCCCGCAUUGAGGAUCGGUGCCGACCGGCACUCACCAGCCCGAGAGGCUUGUCUGUUCACCCGCCGGGGAGGGGCGGGGCUGGGAGCUGAGGCUCAGGCUUCAGGGAGAGGUCGGAGUGCAGGGAGAGGACUGGGGUUGGCGGUGUGAACACAGCCUGAAGGGAGUUAGUGCACCACAGCUAGCUAUGAGGGAGUACGGGGAAAAGUCUGGAUCUGCCAAAGAGGCAAGAGACUUGUUCUUCCCUCUUUGUUUCCUGGUGCGCGAGGAGAGGGGAUUCAGAGAACAGUCUAAAGGAGCUCCAGAGACGGGCGCGAGCCGCGGCUAUCAGCGCGGACCCCAGAGACGGGCAUGAGACGCUAAGGCUGCUGCUGCCACCACCAAGAAGCCUGUGUGCGAGCACAGGUCACUCUCCACACCUCCCCUCCCUGGAGCCUGUGCAGCCCGCCACUGCCAGGGUCCCGUGAUCCAGGGACAACUUCCCCGGGAGAACACACAGCGCGCCUCAGGCUGGUGCAGCGUCAUGUUGGCCUCGGCCGCUGCAGGCUCGCCCCACAUCCAUAACCCCUCACUCGCCCCGGCCUGAGUGAGCCAGAGACCCCGAAUCAGCUGCUCCUUUAACCCCAUCCUGUGUGAGCGAAGAACAGACGCCCUCAUGCGACCUACACACAGGGGCGGGGCCAAGCCAAAGCUGAACCCCAGGAGCUGUGCAAACAAAGAAGAGAAAGGGAAAUCUCUCCAGCAGCCUCAGAAGUAGCAGAUUAAAUCUCCACAAUCACCUUGAUGUACCCUGCAUCUGUGGAAUACCUGAAUAGACAACGAAUCAUCCCAAAACUGAGGCAGUGGACUUCAGGAGCAACUGUAGACUUGGGGUUUGCUGUAUGUGACUGACUGGUUUCUGGGUUUAUGUUUAUCUUAGUUUAGUAUUUAGAGUUUAUUAUCGUUGGUAGAUUUGUUUAUUGAUUUGGUUGCUCUCUUCUUUUUUUUUUAAUAUAUAGAUAUAUAUUUUUUAACUUUUUCUCUUUUUGUGAGUGUGUAUAUGUAUGCUUCUUUGUGUGAUUUUGUCUGUAUAGAUUUGCUUUUACCAUU